GACGAACCGUGCGAACGUUAUUCGGAAUCACUGGGCUUAAAGCGCGUGUAGGCGGAUGGGGACGUCGGGUCGCUGAAAUCCCCCGGCUCAACCGGGGAACGGGCGCCGAAACGCCCCGUCUGGAGGGACGUGAGGGGGACCUGGAACUUCCGGUGGAGCGGUGAAAUGCGUUGAGAUCGGAAGGAACGCCCGUGGCGAAAGCGAGGUCCUGGACGUCUUCUGACGCUGAGACGCGAAAGCUAGGGGAGCGAACGGGG
rnacentral:rRNA from 1 species